rnacentral:rRNA from 1 species
GUCGAGAAUCUUCCGCAAUGCGCGAAAGCGUGACGGAGCGACACCGCGUGAUGGAUGAAGUCCUUCGGGGCGUAAACAUCUUUUAUAAAGGAGGAAAUUUUUGACGUUACUUUAUGAAUAAGGGGCUCCCAAUCUCGUGCCAGCAGGAGCGGUAAUACGAGAGCCUCAAGCGUUAUCCGGAAUCAUUGGGCGUAAAGGGUGCGUAGGUGGUUUGAUUAGUCUCCCGUUAAAACUUCGAGCUUAACUCGAAAAGAGCGGGGGAAACGGUCAAACUAGAGUAUGUGAGAGGUGUGUGGAACUCAUGGUGUAGGGGUGAAAUCCGUUGAUAUCAUGGGGAACACCAAAAGCGAAGUCAGCACACUGGCACAUCACUGACACUGAGGCACGAAACCUAAGGUAGCGAAUGGGAUUAGAUACCCGGGUAGUCC